rnacentral:rRNA from 1 species
UACAGAGGGUGCGAGCGUUGUUCGGAAUUAUUGGGCGUAAAGGGCGCGUAGGCGGUGCCACAAGUCACCUGUGAAAUCUCCUGGCUCAACUGGGAGCUUGCAGGCGAAACUGUGGUGCUGGAGUGUGGGAGAGGUGCGUGGAAUUCCCGGUGUAGCGGUGAAAUGCGUAGAUAUCCACAGGAACUCCGGUGGCGAAGGCGGCACGCUGGACCCCAUCUGACGCUGAGGCGCGAAAGCCAGGGGAGCGAACGGG